UACGUAGGGUCCAAGCGUUAUCCGGAAUCACUGGGCGUAAAGCGUGCGUAGGUGGAUACUUAAGUGAGAUGUGAAAGCGUGUGGCUCAACCAUAUCGUUGUGUCUCAUACUGGGUAUCUAGAGGAUGGCAGAGGCAAGUGGAAUUUCUCGUGUAGCGGUAAAAUGCGUAGAUAUGAGAAGGAACACCAAUGGCGAAGGCAGCUUGCUGGGCCACCCCUGACACUGAGGUACGAAAGCGUGGGGAGCGAACAGG
rnacentral:rRNA from 1 species